AGUAAAAAAUCUAAAAACAGAGAAAACGGACCAAAUCAAAAUGUAAAAGCAAAUUAAACCAAUUAACAUACCUACCUACAACAAAACAAUACCAGCCACCGGUAAUCUAUAAGCCACGGAAAACUACAAUUCAACAAAAACAAUCACUAGCACAAUGUCAACAAAAUCCCGAGGCAAGAGCAACUUCAAGGUCACUCUAGACACGGCGGCUCUAUCGAGAUUCAAUCAGAGUUUCAGUCUACUGGUAUACACGGCACUUACGUUCUUCGUGGUGCUGCUUGUAUACGUUGCUACAAAGGACUGGAAAGGCUACACGUGUCCAGAAGAAGUGGAUCUUGGAGCAGUUCAAGUGCCCUCCCAUACCUGUCGGCGCAAACACACUCAUUUUCGUAGACACUGAACAUAUGUAUUUGUAAGCAUUUAAUAAAAAAUACCGCACAUCA